UCGGUGCGCGACCCGGGCUGGCGGUGGUUUCCGGUUCCGCGGGGCUGGCGGGCGGGCGGCCGGGAGCGGCGUCGGCGGCGGCGCCUGACAGACAAUGAGGGCGGUGGGGCGGCGCUGAGCGGCGGCGGCGGCGAGCGACGCGGGGCCCGGGGGCGGGGCGGGGCGCCAGCCAUGGACAAUCAGGUCUCCCAGCGCAGGCCGGGGACCUUACCUGCUCUGGCUUCACAGUCCUGCAACCUCCCACUUGAGCUCAGCACCCGCUGCCCCUGCACCGUCCAGGUCAAGUUGGAGCUGGGACAUCGCGCCCAGCUGCGCAAGAAGCCCACCACGGAGGGGUUCACCCACGACUGGAUGGUGUUUGUGCGCGGCCCUGAGCAGUGUGAGAUCCAGCACUUCGUGGAGAAGGUGAUCUUCCGGCUGCACGACAGCUUCCCCAAGCCCAAACGCGUGUGCAAGGAGCCCCCGUACAAGGUGGAGGAGUCGGGGUACGCUGGCUUCAUCAUGCCCAUCGAGGUGCACUUCAGAAACAAGGAGGAGCCGAGGAAGGUCUGCUUCACCUACGACCUCUUCCUGAACCCAGAGGGCAACCCGCCCGUGAACCACCUGCGCUGUGAGAAGCUCACCUUCAACAACCCCACCACCGAGUUCCGCUACAAGCUGCUGAUGGCUGGCGGGGUGAUGGUAAUGCCCGAAGGAGCAGAAUCGGUGUCCAGGCCCAGCCCCGACUACCCCAUGUUACCCACAAUUCCACUCUCUGCCUUCUCUGACCCCAAGAAGACCAAACCGUCCCAUGGCUGCAAGGACGCCAACAAGGAGAGCAGCAAGGCCUCGAAGCCGCACAAGGUGACCAAGGAGCAGCGGGAGCGGCCGCGGAAGGACUCGGAGAGCAAGGGCUCCUCCCGGGAGCUGGAGCGCGAGCAGGCCAGGGGCGGCAAGGACGCGCGCAAGCUGGCCGAGGGCCGGCUGCCCAAGGAGGACAAGGCCCCGCCGCCCAAGGCCGCGUUCAAGGAGCCCAAGAUGGCCCUGAAGGAGGCCAAGCUGGAGAGCUUGUCCCCCAAAGGGGGGCCCCAGCCCCCAGCCCUGCCCAAGGCUUCCAGCAAGCGGCCGGCCGCCGCGGACUCGCCGAAGCCCAGCGCCAAAAAGCCGAAGAAGAGCAGCUCGAAGGGGUCCCGGAGCGCCCCGGGCGCCUCGCCCCGCACCUCGUCUUCCUCCUUCCCGGACAAAAAGCCAGCCAAGGACAAGAGCAGCAGCAAGGGGGAGAAGGGGAAGGCCGAGAGCGAGCCCAGGGAGGCCCGGAAGGCGCUGGAGGUGGAGGAGUCCAACUCGGAGGACGAGGCCUCCCUCAAGUCAGAGUCCGCCCCGUCCAGCCCGUCCAACUCCAGCUCCAGCUCGGACUCCAGCUCAGACUCGGAUUUUGAACCGUCUCAGAACCACAGCCAAGGACCCCUGCGCUCCAUGGUGGAGGACCUGCAGUCAGAGGAGUCUGACGAGGACGAUUCUUCAUCAGGUGACGAGGCCACCGUCAAGACGAACCCAGGACGGGACUCCAGGUUGAGCUUCAGUGACAGCGAGAGUGACAACAGUGCAGACUCCUGCCUGCCCGGCCGUGAGCCCCCGCCCCCCCAGAAGCCACCCCCACCCAACAGCAAGGCGCCAGGCCGGCGGAGCCCGGAGCCCUGCAGCAAGCCGGACAAGAUCCUCAAGAAAGGCGGCUACGACAAGGCCUACACGGACGAGCUGGUGGAGCUGCACCGGCGGCUGAUGGCGCUGCGGGAGCGCAACGUGCUGCAGCAGAUCGUGAACCUGAUCGAGGAGACCGGCCACUUCAACGUCACCAACACCACCUUCGACUUCGACCUCUUCUCCCUGGACGAGAGCACCGUUCGCAAGCUGCAGAGCUACCUGGAGGCCGUGGCCACAUGACCCGGGGCCGGGUGCCGGGCCCCUGCGGCCGGGGCCCCGGGGGGGCUGCGCGCGGGCCCCGCCUGCUCGUGGCACUGCCUUAGCGACCCUCGGAGCCAGCUGCACUUUCCUCAGCGGCUUCCCCCCGCCCGCCCCCCAGGGGGGGCCGGGCUGCUCGCGGCACGUGGUCUGUGGUGCGGGCAUCAACCAGGCUGGGCCUCGCUCCCUGCAGAGGAAGGAACACGUGGGGCUGGGGGCCCCUGCGUGUGGCGGCCCUGCCCCGGCGCUGCGGGGGCUGCUCGGGCCUCUCUGAGCAUCCGGGGCGGAGCCCAGCCUCGCAGACGGUUCAGAACACGCCCCGCCCACCCGUGUCUGCAGCCAGCCCGGCCGGGCCGCGCUGUGCAGUUGUCUAUAUUAUAUAUGUGUAUGCGCUGUUAUGUACACGAGCGGUUUCCGAUGUGCGUUUCUGUGGCAGCAGUGACGUGGGGGGUGGGGGGCUAAGGGUAAGAUGUCUGCGGGGUCUGUGUCGGCUGCAGGCCGGGGCGCCGCCGCCUCCCGCCGGGCCGGGCCCCUGAACACUACGCCGGGCGGCCGGGCGGCCGGGCGCACCCUCCUCCAUAGGAUCCUCUUCCUCCCCGUUGUUGAGCAAGUCUUCGAACUUUGAAAAAAAAUGAGCUUUUGCCAAAUAAGAUGGGGUGGUUUGUGGAGUUUUCCAGGGACCACGGGGACUUGUGCUCCACACGGCCCCUCCCCCCACGCCGGCCCGGGAAGCCCCACCCCGCGGAGACAGCCCACUCCAGGUCCCCCUGGCGCCGCCCUGCCCACCCCCGUCCCCCGGUCCCCCGUGUCCCUGUGCCCGGACCAGCGUGCAGGCAGAGGGGGCAGGGCCCGUGACCCCACCCCCUCCCCCACCCCCGCUAUGAAUCCACGCGCGGGGCGGGCCCGGCCCUGUCCCUGCGCUCCCUGGUCUUCCUGGCUGUGUCUGCUGGGCGCAUCCCGACACUCCUUGCCUCCAAGGCUCCCCCGACUCCAGCUGCCCUGGGGGCUCCCCCGGAUCGUCGGGAAGGACGAGAACUUCCAGAGGAGACCUCAGAGGCCCCUCGGCCGCACUGCCUUCAGGUAUCGGAGAGGGGCAGGCUCCGGCCGCCGCCCACCCCCUCCCCAGGCAGGCCAAUAAUACUCCAAAGUGGGGCGCCCGCGCUUCCGCUGAAGAUGGACAUGGACAGGCCCCAGAGCCCCGCGUGGGCGCGGGGUGGCCGCCGCCGCUCCGCCCUCCGCGCUCGGAGGCCGCGGGCAGUCGCCGGGCUGCUGAUUCUCCAGAGGCUCUCCUGGGGCCCACACGUGGCCAGCGCAGCCGCGGCGGUGGCACCCGGCCCUUCGUGCUGUCGGCAAAGCCUCCGGACGCAGCGACCCGUUUCUGUUACCUCCUCUGGCCGGAAGGCCUCACCGCUGUCCUCCAGGGCUGGCUCCCCGCCCACCCGACGGACGUGCCGGGCCGCCAGCAUUCCCAGCUGCUGCCUACCCCGCCCUGGCUGCCCAGCAGCUGGGCCGGAGAGGGCUCCGGGGCGCGCUCCGUGCUAAGCCGCUCGCCCCCAGUGCAAAUCCCCGUGUGUGGCCGUCUCCUGAACAGUGUAAACCAGAGGGUAUCGAAUACCCUCCCCGCCCGCCAGGGUUCCUCCAGGACGCGCCCCGAGGAACCGGGACUCCUUCCCAGCGGCCCGAGACCAACUCCUGGCUGACAGGAAUAAGGAGAAACGUGUUUGUAACGAGUUACAGGAUUGUUUCUGUCCUGGAUUUUAAACUUUUUGUUAAAUUGUGAAAUUAUGGAGGAGUUUUAUAGAAAAAAAAAAGUGAAAUAAAGUCAGAUGGAAAGCAGA